CAGUAGCCGCGGUAAUACGAAGGGUGCAAGCGUUACUCGGAAUUACUGGGCGUAAAGCGUGCGUAGGCGGUGAGUUAAGUCUGCUGUGAAAUCCCCGGGCUCAACCUGGGAAUGGCAAUGGAUACUGGCAAGCUAGAGUGUGUCAGAGGAUGGUGGAAUUCCCGGUGUAGCGGUGAAAUGCGUAGAGAUCGGGAGGAACAUCAGUGGCGAAGGCGGCCAUCUGGGACAACACUGACGCUGAGGCACGAAAGCGUGGGGAGCAAACAGGAUUAGAUACCCGCGUAGUCCCUGUCUCUUAUAA
rnacentral:rRNA from 1 species